CCUACGGGGGGCUGCAGUGGGGAAUAUUGGACAAUGGGGGGAACCCUGAUCCAGCCAUGCCGCGUGUGUGAAGAAGGCCCUCGGGUUGUAAAGCACUUUCAGUGAGGAAGAACGCCUGGUGGUUAAUACCCAUCAGGAAAGACAUCACUCACAGAAGAAGCACCGGCUAACUCCGUGCCAGCAGCCGCGGUAAUACGGAGGGUGUGAGCGUUAAUCGGAAUUACUGGGCGUAAAGCGCGCGUAGGUGGCUUGAUAAGCCGGUUGUGAAAGCCCCGGGCUCAACCUGGGAACGGCAUCCGGAACUGUCAAGCUAGAGUGCAGGAGAGGAAGGUAGAAUUCCCGGUGUAGCGGUGAAAUGCGUAGAGAUCGGGAGGAAUACCAGUGGCGAAGGCGGCCUUCUGGACUGACACUGACACUGAGGUGCGAAAGCGUGGGUAGCAAACAGGAUUAGAUACCCCUGUAGUC
rnacentral:rRNA from 1 species